CCUACGCGCGGCAGCAGUGGGGAAUAUUGGACAAUGGGCGAAAGCCUGAUCCAGCCAUGCCGCGUGUGUGAAGAAGGCCUUCGGGUUGUAAAGCACUUUCAGUGGGGAAGAAAGCCUUGGGGCUAAUACCCUCGAGGAAGGACAUCACCCACAGAAGAAGCACCGUCUAACUCCGUGCCAGCAGCCGCGGUAAUACGGAGGGUGCGAGCGUUAAUCGGAAUUACUGGGCGUAAAGCGCGCGUAGGCGGUCUGAUAAGCCGGUUGUGAAAGCCCCGGGCUCAACCUGGGAACGGCAUCCGGAACUGUCAGGCUAGAGUGCAGGAGAGGAAGGUAGAAUUCCCGGUGUAGCGGUGAAAUGCGUAGAGAUCGGGAGGAAUACCAGUGGCGAAGGCGGCCUUCUGGACUGACACUGACGCUGAGGUGCGAAAGCGUGGGUAGCAAACAGGAUUAGAUACCCCGGAGUC
rnacentral:rRNA from 1 species